GGAAAACCAUCUACUGACGUGUGGGACCGGAGCAGAUAACAAAUCCAGCGCCUCAAAUCUAAGCACCCCGACGAAAUCGCCUAAUCCAAACCGCCUAUGCACGUUGGCUGGCCCUACUAAACGGAGAAGCCCCACCACAAACGCUACUCGCCGCCGCGGCGCGCAGACGACUGCGACUCCGCGAUGGACGAGGAGGAAAGGGAGGAGGUGGGAGAGUACAAGCUGCAAGGGUUGGUUGGGAGGGGCUCGUUCGCCGAGGUGCACCGUGCCGCGCACCGCCGCACUGGCGCGCCCGCGGCGGUCAAGGCGAUCGACCGCCGCCUCGUCGACAAGCGCGUCCACGACGGCAUCCUGCAGGAGAGGGAGAUACUCAGGAGCAUCGACCACCCCAACAUCCUCCGCCUCCUCGACACCAUCGACACCACGAACAUGAUGUACCUGGUGCUGGAGUACUGCGACGGAGGCGACCUGGACGCGUUUCUCCACAAGCACGGCCGGCUGCCGGAGGCCGUAGCCAAGGACUUGAUGCGGCAGCUCGCGGAAGGGCUGAAGGUGCUGAGGGGGAGGAACAUCGUGCACCGGGACCUCAAACCACAGAACCUUCUCCUAUCAACCAACGGGGAUGACAUCGUAUUGAAAAUUGGUGACUUUGGGUUUGCCAGGUCGCUGGUGCAUGAAAAUUUAGCUGCUACAAUAUGUGGGUCGCCAUAUUAUAUGGCACCAGAAAUUUGGCAAGGGAAGGACUAUGAUGCAAAGUCGGACUUGUGGAGUGUUGGUAUCAUUCUUUUUCAGCUAGUCACAGGGAAGUUGCCAUUCACCGGGAGUAAUGCUUUUCAGCUGCACCAAAAUGUCAUGGCUACCGAUGAUCUUAACUUCCCUUCAGAAAUUGAAGCUGAUUUAUGUCCUGAUUGCAUUGAUUUGUGCAGAAGACUCCUGCACCGUGAUCCAAAGAAGAGAAUAAGUUUUGAAGAAAUCUUCAAUCACAAGUUUUUGGCAACAACAAGGAAAUGCUAUGAAUCCUGUCAUGCUGUAGAAUUAAGAGAUAACUGCCAGACAAUCACCUCUCCUGUUGUCCUAAAAACAAAGUCUGGAAGUAUUGAAUCAAAAAAUCCGAAAGUUUUUGAUUCAUGGGAGUGGAUUGAACGAGAAUAUGUGCUUGUUCCGGAAAACUGUACUUCUAUGGAAAUGUCUUCACUCAACAUCAAGUCCACAAAGGAUGAUAUGGAUACAAGAACGGUCAGCUAUGCCAUGGAUGUGCUCCUGUGGUCAUUUCACAGGAGUCAGCCACUGUGGAUUGUAGACGAGGGAAACCACCUGAUUAUAUUACAAGACUUCAUUCUCUGAAUCAAUAUGUUCUUGUUCUUGCGGAUCUUGCUCGGGAAAAGCUAUCUAAAGGCCUGUACCUGGAGGCGUUAUCAAUUGAACUUGUAUUAUUAACUAUCUGGAAAGAGGCACUUGAUGCAUGUAGCUUGCUCAUGGAUACAUCAGAUGGUGAAAAAUUCUCUAAAUCUUGUCAAGAACAUUUCCUUGCUAAGAGUGGCCACUCACCUAUGAAUGUAGUACAAGGAUUGGAUUUCACUCGGACGGCUUCUAUUUUUUCUUGGCUUGAAAGUGGGUUUAUGAAGGCAUAUGAUCGUGCAGAGAAGAUAUCACAUGUAUUACGGAAAAGUGAUGAUAACACCGAGAUGCCAGAUGCAGUGGAUGUUACAUUCCAAACUGCUUUGUAAUAUGAGAAGAGUAGAGCUGCGAAUGAAGUUUUAGGAAAUCAAAGCAGAUCCGCAGAGCUAUAUUCGAAGUCUAUCAUCUUGCUCACGUUUUUAGUACAGGAAGCAUCUAUGUUGCCACUAAAUCCACCGCUUUCCCUUUCGCCUUUGGAUCAGCAACGCAUCCGUAGGUACAUAGCUAAUUUGAACAGCCAUCUCUGCAGUGCUCAGGUUCCAGGGCAACGGCAGAGAUCAGUCCACCAUGUUGCUUUUUGUCUAGGAGGUGGUGUUCAAUGCUUUGGUGUCAUGAACCUUUGUAAAAUUGUAGUUGCCGAACACCAUGAUCCUGCCCCCUUUUUUGUAUAUAUAUAGAUAAUAACACCACAUGCUCUAUAUGGUCGCCCCUUACCAUAUGUUCAAAUGACUCUGAACUUUAUAUAUUUGCAAGUGCCUUGUUUGCACAUGUAAAAAGAAACGGGUUUCGAACCUUCUCGCGA